UACGUAGGGUGCGAGCGUUGUCCGGAAUUACUGGGCGUAAAGGGCUCGUAGGCGGUUUGUCGCGUCGGGAGUGAAAACACUGGGCUUAACUCAGUGCUUGCUUCCGAUACGGGCAGACUAGAGGUAUUCAGGGGAGAACGGAAUUCCUGGUGUAGCGGUGAAAUGCGCAGAUAUCAGGAGGAACACCGGUGGCGAAGGCGGUUCUCUGGGAAUGUCCUGACGCUGAGGAGCGAAAGUGUGGGGAGCGAACAGG
rnacentral:rRNA from 1 species